rnacentral:rRNA from 1 species
GAGUUUGAUCAUGGCUCAGAAUGAACGCUGGCGGCGUGCCUAACACAUGCAAGUCGCACGAGAAAGGUCUGGUGUAAGCUGGGCCGAGUAAAGUGGCGCACGGGUGAGUAACGCGUGGGUGACCUACCCCUGAGUCUGGGAUAACUUCGCGAAAGCGGGGCUAAUACCGGAUAGGCUCUACCAUUCGUUUGGUAGGGGAAAGCCGGCCUCUCGAAGAAGCUGGUGCUUGGGGAUGGGCCCGCGUCCUAUCAGCUAGUUGGUGGGGUAAUGGCCCACCAAGGCGACGACGGGUAGCUGGUCUGAGAGGAUGAUCAGCCACACUGGCACUGGAACACGGGCCAGACUCCUACGGGAGGCAGCAGUGAGGAAUUUUGCGCAAUGGCCGCAAGGCUGACGCAGCAACGCCGCGU